rnacentral:rRNA from 1 species
CAUUAGGACCUGGAAAGCGGCGAAAGGGUGAGUAACACGUAGUUUACGUGCCCCGGGGUCCGGAAUAGCCACGGGAAACUGUGGGUAAUGCCGGAUAACAUCUUCGGGAUCAAAGGUGUGAUUCCGCCCUGGGAGCGGACUGCGUCCUACUAGCUUGUUGGUGGGGUAAUGGCCUACCAAGGCUCCGAUGGGUAGCGGGCGUGAGAGCGUGGCCCGCCACACUGGGACUGAGACACUGCCCAGACACCUACGGGUGGCUGCAGUCGAGAAUCUUCGGCAAUGCGGGAAAGCGUGACCGAGCGACGCCGCGUGUGGGAUGAAGGCCUUCGGGUUUUAACCCACUGUCGUAGGGGAGAAAGGCUCCGUGAAGAGCGGAGUUUGACCUAUCCUAGGAGGAAGGCCGGGCUAAGUUCGUGCCAGCAGCCGCGGUAAGACGAACCGGCCAAACGUUAUUCGGAAUUAUUGGGCUUAAAGGGUGCGUAGGCGGUGCGGUCAGUCGGGUGUGAAAUCCCUCGGCUCAACCGAGGAAUUGCGCCCGAUACUACCGUGCUUGAGGGAGACAGAGGUGAGCGGAACUGAUGGUGGAGCGGUGAAAUGCGUUGAUAUCAUCAGGAACACCAGUGGCGAAAGCGGCUCGCUGGGUCUCUUCUGACGCUGAGGCACGAAAGCUAGGGUAGCGAACGGGAUUAGAUACCCCGGUAGUCCUAGCCGUAAACGAUGAGCA